rnacentral:pre_miRNA from 1 species
CACCUACUCCCUCCGUCCGGAAUUACUUGUCAUCAAAAUGGAUGAAAAUGGAUGUAUCUAGAACUAAAAUACAUCUAGAUACAUCCAUUUCAAUGACAAGUAUUUCCGGACGGAGGGAGUACUUG